rnacentral:lncRNA from 1 species
GGAGGAGAUUUCUGUGGUAAUGACCGAGCAAUGAGAAUCGCCAGCCCUGAGGAAAGUGCAAAGGCCCUGAAGUGCAAACAAACUUGGCUAUUGAAGGAAGAGGAGGAAAUACAGGAAGGAGAGUGGCCUUCCGGGAAAGAGAAUACUGAAUACUGCCACAUACCAAGUGGGGACCAGAGCAGUGCACAGUGCAGCUAGAAGCUAAAGGAUCAUCAGGUCCUGUAAAGCAGCCAAUGCUGGAAUAGGCAAGUAGGGCCUCUUUCCUAGAGAUUUCAGAUGGGACCCCAG